CGAGCGAAUGGAUUAAGAGCUUGCUCUUAUCGAAGUUAGCGGCGGACGGGUGAGUAACACGUGGGUAACCUACCCAUAAGACUGGGAUAACUCCGGGAAACCGGGGCUAAUACCGGAUAAUAUUUUGAACUGCAUAGUUCGAAAUUGAAAGGCGGCUUCGGCUGUCACUUAUGGAUGGACCCGCGUCGCAUUAGCUAGUUGGUGAGGUAACGGCUCACCAAGGCGACGAUGCGUAGCCGACCUGAGAGGGUGAUCGGCCACACUGGGACUGAGACACGGCCCAGACUCCUACGGGAGGCAGCAGUAGGGAAUCUUCCGCAAUGGACGAAAGUCUGACGGAGCAACGCCGCGUGAGUGAUGAAGGCUUUCGGGCCGUAAAACUCUGUUGUUAGGGAAGAACAAGUGCUAGUUGAAUAAGCUGGCACCUUGACGGUACCUAACCAGAAAGCCACGGCUAACUACGUGCCAGCAGCCGCGGUAAUACGUAAGUGGCAAGCGUUAUCCGGAAUUAUUGGGCGUAAAGCGCGCGCAGGUGGUUUCUUAAGUCUGAUGUGAAAGCCCACGGCUCAACCGUGGAGGGUCAUUGGAAACUGGGAGACUUGAGUGCAUAAGAGGAAAGUGGAAUUCCAUGUGUAGCGGUGAAAUGCGUAGAGAUAUGGAGGAACACCAGUGGCGAAAGCGACUUUCUGGUCUGUAACUGACACUGAGGCGCGAAAGCGUGGGGAGCAUCAGGAUUAGAUACCCUGGUAGUCCACGCCGUAAACGAUGAGUGCUAAGUGUCAGAGGGUUUCCGCCCUUUAGUGCUGAAUUUAACGCAUGUAAGCACUCCGCCUGGGGAGUACGGCCGCAAGAGCUGGAACUCAAUGAAUCGACUCGGGAAGGGCGAAUUCGCGGCCGCUACAU
rnacentral:rRNA from 1 species